rnacentral:ncRNA from 2 species
UUGAUAACGCAGGGGUUCCCGUCGCAUAUUCAAUUGUGGCGGGAUGAGACUAACCCUUUGAACCUGACGCGGUUAACACCGCCGUAGGGAGCGUGAAGCGGCGAUUU